UCUGAGGACAGUAUUAAGCUGGUUGCCAUU
rnacentral:piRNA from 1 species